ACAACCCUCAGGCCCUGGUGCCUGGUGUUGGGGCACUACAGCACGCUGUAGGCCCUGAAAUCCAGUGGCGGGACCGCUGAAAACCCGGGCGUAGUAACUUUACGUCGUCUAGGGUGUUCCGGCGGACCUCAGCCGUUAAACCCACCAAAUUAUCAU
rnacentral:misc_RNA from 1 species